rnacentral:rRNA from 1 species
UACGUAGGGUGCAAGCGUUGUCCGGAAUUAUUGGGCGUAAAGAGCGUGUAGGCGGCCCGAUUAGUCCGCUGUGAAAGUCCAGGGCUCAACCCUGGAAUGCCGGUGGAUACUGUCGGGCUAGAGUCCGGAAGGGGCGAGUGGAAUUCCUGGUGUAGCGGUGAAAUGCGCAGAUAUCAGGAGGAACCCCAAUGGCGAAGGCGGUCUGCUGGGCAGUUGCUGACACUGAUGCGCGACAGCGUGGGGAGUAAACAGG